CCCACUCAGGUUGGCUCCUGUCUGUGUUGAUUUUUCAUGCCGCAGUCGUGUGGGUUUUCUGUCUGUGACUCUGGUUUCCUCCCACAUGUGACUCUGAAUUGCCCCGUCUAUGCCCGGUGAUGACUGGUGCCUAUCCAUGACAGACUCCUGCCUGGUACCUGGUAUAGCUGGCACACACUCUCUCUAAAUAGAUGAUCUCCAGCUCCUCAAGUUUUCAGUCACCUUGCCCUCGGGGUCCAGUUUUCCCAGGAAUCCCUUGGACAAUCACAUGGGGAUUCCUGGAAAUACUGUUCUUGGGGGCUGGGCCAGGCACCCUUGUUGACAGCGAUGGAGAUACGUGGGCCGAUGAGAAUAGAUGCACAGUGAAGACAGCGAGUUCUUUAAAGAGCAGCAGCAAUCAUCACACCCAACUGUAGUCAUCUUACCUUAAUAAACAUUAUUUUAACUCUUGGAA